rnacentral:rRNA from 1 species
AGCGAACGCUGGCGGCAUGCUUAACACAUGCAAGUCGCACGGGCGGGGGCAACUCCGUCAGUGGCGGACGGGUGAGUAACGCGUAGGUAUCUAUCCUUGGGUGGGGGACAACCGUGGGAAACUACGGCUAAUACCGCAUGAUGUCUGAGGACCAAAGGCGCGAGUCGCCUGGGGAGGAGCCUGCGUACGAUUAGCUAGUUGGUGGGGUAAAGGCCUACCAAGGCUGUGAUCGUUAGCUGGUCUGAGAGGAUGAUCAGCCACAUUGGGACUGAGACAC